rnacentral:rRNA from 1 species
AUGCUGAGCUUGUUUUAUGCUCUUGUUCAAGACAUCUCGGAUCUGUUAAACCAUGAAGUCUCUUCUUUCACUGUGGAAAUAUGGGCGGCUGAGCGCCUGUGCUUCUUUGCCAAUCGGUUGGAUGCCUUGAGAAGUGUGCUGCGUUGCCAAUCGGUCGGAUGCCUUGAGAAGGGUCAAAUAGGGUGGACGAUUGAUUUGGAAUUUGGUUUUGUUAACGUCAACAGGAGGAGGAAUGGAGGAGAAGCCAAGCCAAGGAGAGGACGAAGAUUUGAGCCUAGGACACUGGGUGUCGAUAACGGUAAGGUUUCAGGGUCUCAAGGAGCGACUCGGGAAUCAAAACUAUUUCAAACCAUUUAUUAA